AUUGAACGCUGGCGGCAGGCCUAACACAUGCAAGUCGAACGGUAACAGGAAGCAGCUUGCUGCUUUGCUGACGAGUGGCGGACGGGUGAGUAAUGUCUGGGAAACUGCCUGAUGGAGGGGGAUAACUACUGGAAACGGUAGCUAAUACAGCAUAACGUCGCAAGACCAAAGAGGGGGACCUUCGGGCCUCUUGCCAUCGGAUGUGCCCAGAUGGGAUUAGCUAGUAGGUGGGGUAACGGCUCACCUAGGCGACGAUCCCUAGCUGGUCUGAGAGGAUGACCAGCCACACUGGAACUGAGACACGGUCCAGACUCCUACGGGAGGCAGCAGUGGGGAAUAUUGCACAAUGGGCGCAAGCCUGAUGCAGCCAUGCCGCGUGUAUGAAGAAGGCCUUCGGGUUGUAAAGUACUUUCAGCGGGGAGGAAGGGAGUAAAGUUAAUACCUUUGCUCAUUGACGUUACCCGCAGAAGAAGCACCGGCUAACUCCGUG
rnacentral:rRNA from 1 species